GCAUCGGACUGUAGGGGUACAGUGAUCAGGUUACGAUGGAUUUCUCUAGUAACAGCCUCGUAGCUUGAUCACCAUCUCCCUAUGAUUCAGAUU
ensembl:miRNA aca-mir-1329 aca-mir-1329